rnacentral:rRNA from 1 species
GACGAACGCUGGCGGCGUGCUUAACACAUGCAAGUCGAACGGAAAGGCCCUGCUUUUGUGGGGUGCUCGAGUGGCGAACGGGUGAGUAACACGUGAGUAACCUGCCCUUGACUUUGGGAUAACUUCAGGAAACUGGGGCUAAUACCGGAUAGGAGCUCCUGCUGCAUGGUGGGGGUUGGAAAGUUUCGGCGGUUGGGGAUGGACUCGCGGCUUAUCAGCUGGUUGGUGGGGUAGUGGCGUACCAAGGCUUUGACGGGUAGCCGGCCUGAGAGGGUGACCGGCGACAUUGGGACUGAGAGACGGCGCAGACGCCUACGGGAGGCAGCAGUGGGGAAUAUUGCGCAAUGGGCGGAAGCCUGAGGCAGCAACGCCGCGUGCGGGAUGACGUCCUUCGGGUUGUAAACCGCUUUCGCCUGUGACGAAGCGUGAGUGACGGUAAUGGGUAAAGAAGCACCGGCUAACUACGUG